CAGCAGCCACGGGAAUACGUAGGGUGCAAGCGUUAAUCGGAAUUACUGGGCGUAAAGCGUGCGCAGGCGGUUAUAUAAGACAGAUGUGAAAUCCCCGGGCUCAACCUGGGAACUGCAUUUGUGACUGUAUAGCUAGAGUACGGCAGAGGGGGAUGGAAUUCCGCGUGUAGCAGUGAAAUGCGUAGAUAUGCGGAGGAACACCGAUGGCGAAGGCAAUCCCCUGGGCCUGUACUGACGCUCAUGCACGAAAGCGUGGGGAGCAAACAGGAUUAGAUACCCGCGUAGUCCCUGUCUCUUAUAU
rnacentral:rRNA from 1 species